UACGUAGGGUGCAAGCGUUGUCCGGAAUUAUUGGGCGUAAAGAGCUCGUAGGCGGUUCGUCGCGUCGGCUGUAAAAUCCCGAGGCUCAACCUCGGGUCUGCAGUCGAUACGGGCGGACUGGAGUUCGGCAGGGGAGACUGGAAUUCCUGGUGUAGCGGUGAAAUGCGCAGAUAUCAGGAGGAACACCGGUGGCGAAGGCGGGUCUCUGGGCCGAUACUGACGCUGAGGAGCGAAAGCGUGGUGAGCGAACAGG
rnacentral:rRNA from 1 species